rnacentral:rRNA from 1 species
AGUUGUUGCGGUUAAAAAGCUCGUAGUUGGAUUUCUGUUGAGGACGACCGGUCCGCACUAUGUGCGUGUAUCUGGUUCGGCCUUGGCAUCCUCCUGGGGAACGGUGCUGCGCUUGAUUGCGUGGUCCGGUAUUCAGGACUUUUACUUUGAGGAAAUUAGAGUGUUUACGGCAGGCGAGGUCGCCUUGAAUACAUUAGCAUGGAAUAAUACUAUAGGACUUUCGUUCUAUUUUGUUGGUUUCUAGAAUGAAAGUAAUGAUUAAUAGGGAUAAUUGGGGGCAUUCGUAUUAACACGUCAGAGGUGAAAUUCUUGGAUUGUGUUACGACGAACUACUGCGAAAGCAUUUGCCAAGGAUGUUUUCAUUGAUCAAGAACGAAAGUGCGGGGAUCGAAGACGAUUAGAUACCGUCGUAGUCUGCACCAUAAACUAUGCCAACUAGAGAUUGGAGGUCGUUCUUUUUAUGACUCCUUCAGCACCUUAUGAGAAAUCAAAGUCUUUGGGUUCCGGGGGGAGUAUGGUCGCAAGGCUGAAACUUAAAGGAAUUGAC